AGCUUUCUCUUUCUGUUGUAGUGGAUGAGCUCCUGUUUGUUUUCCGAGGUGAUAACGUGUGGCCACCAGGGAGACCGUGCCCUGCUCUACCCCCAUCCAUGCCAGGAGAGUUGGAACAGCCCAGAACUGUGUGCGAGAUUAGGAAAGGUGUGCGCUAAUUAAUGGGAGUGCUGCGCUGCCCUUCGGCUGCAGCCGCACGUGUGGAUGUGGCACUGCGUGUGUCCCCUCCCUGUCCGUGCCCACACCAACACAAGGACUGAGCUGUGACCAUACUACGUUCCUAUGAGCAGCCCGGAGGGACAGCAUGAGGAAAUCGACAUACUCAGGGAUCACCCGGACCUCCAGUGGGAGACUGCGCAGGCUCAGCGACCAGACCAGCCCCAGUGAGUUGCAUGGCUCUUUCUUUCUGAAACUUCCUCAUCCAAUAAAAUACAAAACCAAUCAGCAACAAAUGCAACCAACCAACCAGUUAACAACAAAUGGGUUGGGAGAAUGGAAGGAGUAACUUCUGGAAAAUGCAGCUCCUGCCUCCUAUUCACUGAAGGCUGCUGAUAAAUGCAGAGUUCUCUGUGCAGUAGCAGCAGAGCAGCAUUUAUAUAAAAGAGAGCAGUAUAUAUAAAAUAACCGUGAAAAGAGAGCAGUGUAAAAUAAAAGAUUAAUUACUUAC
rnacentral:lncRNA from 7 species